GUAAAUCGAAGAGGUUGCGACCAACAAGAGUCGGUUAGUCGAGUUGCUGUAUUGAAUGAUGACACUAACUAAAAGGGGCGGUCGCCGAAGCGCUGACAGAUUACAGCUGUCAGUUAGCUGGGACGUUGUUUAAGAAAUGACGGACUGUCGCGGGCUACGUGCUCGCGGGGCGCUAUCGAACUGA
rnacentral:ncRNA from 2 species